UCUCUGGCAGUUUUGCUCUCUUGAAGAUAUUUUCGCAACAUUACCGAAAUUCCUUUCGGGGCCUUUUUACAUGCCUCUACUUCUCCAGAUAUAUGAGCGAUAUGUUGUUUUAAUCUAGUUAUUCCUCCUGUAGUAACUACUUGACAUAAUUUACAUUUGAUUUUCUUUCGAUUUUCACCAACCAUGUCGCCGAAAUCCCAACCUAUAUCAGUUUUUGGACCCA
rnacentral:lncRNA from 1 species